rnacentral:rRNA from 1 species
GACGAACGCUGGCGGCGUGCUUAAUACAUGCAAGUCGAGCGAGGCCCAUCCGGUGGCAACACCGGGGAAGGCCGAGCGGCGAACGGGUGAGUAACACGUGAGCAACCUGCCCCGAAGUCUGGAAUAACAUCGGGAAACCGGUGCUAAUACCGGAUCGCCCCACCUGACCGCAUGAUCGGGUGAGGAAAGAUUUAUCGCUUCGGGAGGGGCUCGCGGCCUAUCAGCUAGUUGGUGGGGUAACGGCCUACCAAGGCGUCGACGGGUAGCUGGUCUGAGAGGACGACCAGCCACACUGGGACUGAGACACGGCCCAGACUCCUACGGGAGGCAGCAGUAGGGAAUCUUGCGCAAUGGGCGAAAGCCUGACGCAGCAACGCCGCGUGGGGAUGACGGCC